ACAGUCACUGACAUUAGAUACCCGGGUAGUCCAGGGUGUAAACGCUGCAGACUUGGUGUUGGAAGCCCUUUGGGGGCAUUCAGUGCCGGAGAGAAGUUGUUAAGUCUGCUACUUGGGAGUACGUCCGCAAGGAUGAAACUUAAAGGAAUUGGCGGGGGAGCACCGCAACGGGAGGAGCGUGCGGUUUAAUUGGAUUCAACACCGUAAAACUCACCAGGGAAGACUGUUACAUGAAGGCCGAGAUGAAGACUCUGCCAGAUUUUCAG
rnacentral:rRNA from 1 species